UACGAAGGGGGCUAGCGUUGCUCGGAAUCACUGGGCGUAAAGCGCACGUAGGCGGAUUGUUAAGUCAGGGGUGAAAUCCUGGAGCUCAACUCCAGAACUGCCUUUGAUACUGACGGUCUUGAGUUCGGGAGAGGUGAGUGGAACUGCGAGUGUAGAGGUGAAAUUCGUAGAUAUUAGGAAGAACACCAGUGGCGAAGGCGGCUCACUGGUCCGGUACUGACGCUGAGGUGCGAAAGCGUGGG
rnacentral:rRNA from 1 species